UGGGUAACCUGCCUCAAAGAGGGGAAUAGCCUCCCGAAAGGGAGAUUAAUACCGCAUAAUAUGUUUAGGUCGCAUGACUUUAACAUCAAAGGAUUUUCUUUUAGAAAUUCCACUUUGAGAUGGACCCGCGGCGCAUUAGCUAGUUGGUGAGGUAACGGCUCACCAAGGCAACGAUGCGUAGCCGACCUGAGGAGGGUGAUCGGCCACAUUGGAACUGAGACACGGUCCAGACUCCGUACGGGAGCAG
rnacentral:rRNA from 1 species